ensembl:lncRNA
UUUUUUGACAAAAUGCAGCAUCCUUAAAUCCUUAGUUGUAAACCAGCUAGCCUAUAUAUGCAGCCUUUUUGAAAUAUACAGUUUAAAUUGUAAAUUAAUCACGUAAUUAUUAUCGUAUUCAUUGUGGACAUUGCGUAUUUAAAAGUGAGGAAAGCGUUUUGUAUGAAAUCCAUAGGCCUACAAGCGCAGUAAGUUAGUCCCUCACAGGGCUCGUACGUAAAUCGGCGGGAAAUAGUGAGUGAGUUGUGUGUGGAAAGUCUGCUGUAUUUUAGAAAUACUCGUCAGAAAAAGCAACUGAGGUAAGUUCCAGCACAGUCUGCGUGUGUCUUCUGUAAAGUCUCUGUCGGACUCUGUCUACAGGAGGGGAGGAAAGGUCUUCAGACCCACCACAGAGGAGGCCCUGAAGUCAUUUAUUGACAUGCAACUUGUUGGGACCAACAUGGUUGAAUAUUUAAACCAUGAGAUGACUGGAGCAUUGCUGCACAUUCUGUGCCUCAGUGAUGAGACAAGGGGGACAUCACAGACCUCUGCCAUUAUUCCAGGCCACGCCAUUGAGACUGAGUCUUUGUUGGAGGCGGUUGAUCUUUGCUUUAAAGCUUUUUUUGUUUUUGAUGUUCAGUACACCAAGCAGUGUCUCCCCACCUGGGAGUUUCUCCAGCAUGCUGUAUAUCAAAUUGAAGGAAAAGAGUCCUCCUCUGUAAAGUUUUUGAGGACAACAGUGGUUUCAGGCCCACAUGAUAUGUAGAUGAUUUUAAAAUGUAUUUUCUUGCUGUUCUUAAAACAACAUAUCUUAAUAAAUUAAAUUGUAAUCGCAUGAGAGUUCAAAUUAGUUGUUUAAUGACUUUUAAUGCCUGAAUAUUUGGACAGAUUUACAUUUGUUAUAAAGUCUGUGGGGAAGGGUGAAUGUCAGAGGUUGUGUGGGUGGGGGUUGGGAUGGGGGGGGGGGUAAAGAAUGUAUUCAAUAUUGUAUACAAACAAAGUAUUAAAGAAAUGUAUUGUUUUUAAAGAAAUAAUAUGUUUUAAAUUAAAUGAGAUUGAUAUCACAUAUACAUGGCCUCUCUGGUUUAUUGUAUUAGAGAGACAAUAAUUAUUUU